rnacentral:rRNA from 1 species
UACAGAGGUCUCAAGCGUUGUUCGGAUUCAUUGGGCGUAAAGGGUGCGUAGGCGGCGCGGUAAGUCGGGUGUGAAAUCUCGGAGCUUAACUCCGAAACUGCAUUCGAUACUGCCGUGCUUGAGGACUGGAGAGGAGACUGGAAUUUACGGUGUAGCGGUGAAAUUCGUAGAUAUUCGGAAGAACACCAGUGGCGAAGGCGACUAACUGGACAGGUAUUGACGCUGAGGUGCGAAAGCGUGGGGAGCAAACAGG